GACGAACGCUGGCGGCGUGCUUAACACAUGCAAGUCGAACGGUAAGGCCCUUCGGGGUACACGAGUGGCGAACGGGUGAGUAACACGUGGGUGAUCUACCCUGCACUUCGGGAUAAGCCUGGGAAACUGGGUCUAAUACCGGAUAGGACCACUGCCUGCAUGGGUGGUGGUGGAAAGCUUUUGCGGUGUGGGAUGGGCCCGCGGCCUAUCAGCUUGUUGGUGGGGUGAUGCCCACCAAGGCGACGACGGGUAACCGGCCGGAGAGGGUGACCGGCCACACUGGGACUGAGAUACGGCCCAGACUCCUACGGGAGGCAGCAGUGGGGAAUAUUGCACAAUGGGCGCAAGCCUGAUGCAGCGACGCCGCGUGAGGGAUGACGGCCUUCGGGUUGUAAACCUCUUUCAGCACCGACGAAGCGCAAGUGACGGUAGGUGCAGAAGAAGGACCGGCCAACUACGUGCCAGCCGCCGCCGUAA
rnacentral:rRNA from 1 species